rnacentral:lncRNA from 1 species
CUCACAUUGCAGACUACCGAGCCACGGUCCCUUCCUCGGCUCCGUUUCUGCUCCCUCCACCCCACGAGGUAGGCAUUGGUGUUUCUGCUUUCCAGCUGGGGAAACAGAGUCCGGAGGUUAAGUGGUUUGCCCCCAGUGCCCCGCCGACAGGGCAAGGCGCGCGGACGGGGCUGUGACUCCCAGGGCGGCAGCCCCCUCGGCGCGGUCUCGCGACCCGACUUCUCUCUGUGGCCCCGGGAAGGGGGUGGGGGGCGGCGGGGCCUCGUCGGCUCCGCCUUCGCUUGGGACCCAGCCAGGCCGCGGGACGCUCCAGUCUUUACAGUGAUGACCUGAUGGCUUUCCUCAAAAGAGCUCGGACCACUCUCCUCCAACUCCCUUCCACAGACCGCUAGUGACGCCCACGCGCAUUUCCCCCUGACCACUGUCUUGACCCCCGGAUGGUCCAGACCGGGAGCCCCAGCCCAGCUUCGGCCGGCCGCUGCGAGCAGAGCUGGACCGCAGCGGGGACUCAGAUCGCCGUAGCCACGCCUACCCACGCGGGAAAGGGCGAGACAUGCAAAUUAGAAAUGGCGCUUCAGCCACGGGGCAAAAACAGAGCUGAGAAUUCACUUGAAAACGUAGCCAACUAUAAACCAUGCCCAAAGGCUUGCUGUUUUCAACAGGCCUAUUGAGAAACGAAGUUGUCAAUUGCCCCUAUCGUUGCUCACCGUGGGUGUAAUAUGGUGAUAUGAGGGUGGUAAUGGCGAAGGCAAAGAUGCUGGAUUCGACAAAUUUUUCCAGAUCUCUGUUUGUGGUGAGGUGUAAUUAUGUGUGUUUUUCCUAGCUUAGUGUGUGCGUUCUUUCUUUUUGUUUCUGAGAAUGCUGUGUUGAGGGGGUUUUUGGAGAAAACGGUGGGGUUGGGAGGUUGUAGUACUUCAAACAAAGGUGAACGAUUUUUUAGGUGAGUGAGCGUUGUGUUUUAAAGGUUAUACUUUGUUAUAUUCACGUUCUUAUUGCGUUAUAUCAUGCUUCAGAAUUGGUCGUCAAUAUCCUUGUCUAGGUGAGAGUAUGUGUGACCAGCCCCCUCCCCGCCUUUUUUUUUUUUUUUUUUUGUCUUAUAGAGUGUCACUUUUGUCAUCCAGGCUGGAGUGCAGUGGCGGGAUGAGAGUUCACUAUGAUCUCGACUUCCUGGACUCAGAUGGUUCUCCCACUUCAGCUUCCGGAUCUAAUAUUUCAAUAAUUUCAAGAACACUGCAUUCAUUCCUCUCCACAUGAGCAAUUGCCAAAACAGACUCACCUGGCACUAAGGACUGCUCUGGUGGUCUUCGGAGGCUCCUGGGAUCGACUGCUUGGACAGAGGUGACAUCACCCAAUUAGUGAGAGCCAAGACCUAAGGCUGCAGCUGCCUUCCAGGUAUCUGCCACUCACUGUAGAACGAUCCCACAGUUCUGCAUUUCUGCCCUAUGCCCGCCAGUCACAAGAAGCUCCGGUCUCUUAUCCCAUGUCUGAUUCCUGAAACCUUGCUAAUUUUCCUACCAUCCUCCCUAUUCCCAGCCUCCUUUCUUCUUCUUCUUCUUCUUCUUCUUUUUUUUUUUUUUUUGAGGCUGAGUUUCACUCUUGUUGCCUAGGCUGGAGUGCAAUGGUGCGAUCUCGGCUCACUGCAACCUCCACCUCCUGGGUUCAAGCGAUUCUCCUGCCUCAGCCUCCAGAGUAGCUGGGAUUACAGGCAUGUGCCACCACGCCCGGCUAAAUUUUUUUUGUAUUUUUAGUAGAGAUGGGGUUUCUCCAUGAUGGUCAGGCUGGUCUCAAACUGCCAAACUCAGGUGAUCCACCCGCACUGGCCUCCCAAAGUGCUGGGAUUACAGGUGUGAGCCACUGUGCCCGGCCCCCCUUUCUUCGUUUGCUCUAUCCUCCCGCUGAAGACAUUGCUUUCCUCUUUCUGUUUGCUCUCCCCACCUCUCACUCCAUUGUGCCUUGCACCUGUGCUGCCCACUACCUCUCCUUGUUGCUGUUGUCUCUCCUGGCUGCUGGUCACUCCAUGCCAACACUUACUUUAUUCCUUGAAGGUUUUUAGCUCCUGGAGCACUGACUUUCUCCAGCAUAACUCCUGUCAUCAAUCGACACCCUGGUUCCCCAAUUCCUUGACCUCAGCUUUGACUACCCCAGCCACUCACUUCCCUGGUCUAACCCUAGGUCAUGUCAUUGUCGAUUGCCAUAACCCCAUCCACUUCGAGGGUCACACUCUCCAAUCACCUCUACCAUCCCUCCCUCUGCUACCCUUUGGUACCUGUCACCCCACUCCCCACCCCCUCAACCCGCAUCCCCAAAGUCCUUGGGCCCACCUCCAACUAAUCUAACUGCACCAACUCUAACAAACUGCACCUGUGUCACUGAGUGUAACUGGUGGAAGCUGACUGGGCUCACCUUAACCCUGGGCAAGCUGGGGGAAAAUAGACAUCCCACAUUUGCUACCUGGGGCCCAAUAAGUCUGCAUUAGUCUGUGCUCGUGCUGCUAAUAAAAACAUACCGGAGACUGGGUAAUUUAUAAAGAAAAAGAGGUUUAAUGGACUCACAGUUCCACGUGGCUGGGGAAGCCUCACAAUCAUGGUGGAAGGUGAAAGGCAUGUCUUACAUGGUGGAAGGUGAGAGAGAACUUGUGCAAGGGAACUCCCCUUUAUAAAACCAUCAGAUCUUGUGAGACUUAUUCACUAUCAUGAGAACAAUAUGGAAAAGUCCUGGCCCCAUGAUUCAAUUACCUCCCACUGGGUCCCUCCCAUGACACGUGGGAAUUAUGGGAGCUACAAUUCAAGAUGAGACUUGGGUGGGGACACAGCCAAACCAUAUCAUUUUGCUGUAGCCCCUCCCAAAUCUCAUGUCCUCACAUUUCAAAACCUAUCAUGCCUUCCCAACAGUCUCCCAAAGUCUUAUUUCAGCAUUAACUCAAAAGUCUACAGUCCAAAGUCUCAUCUGAGACAAGGCAAGUCCCUUCCGCCUACCAGCCUGUACAAUCAAAAGCAAGUUAGGGUCGGGCAUGGUGGCUCAUGCCUGUGAUCCCAGCACUUUGGGAGGCCAAGGCAGGCAGAUCAUCUGAGUUCGGGAGUUUGAGACCAGUCUGGCCAACAUAGUGAAACCCCAUCUCUACUAAAAAUACAAAAAAAUUAGCCGGGCGUGGUGGCACAUGCCUGUAAUCCCAGCUACUCGAGAGGCCGAAGCAGGAGAAUCGCUUGAACCCAGGAGGCAGAGGUUGCAGUGAGCCAAGAUCAUGGCACUGCACUCCAGCCUGGGUGACAGAGUGAGACUCUGUCUCAAAAAGAAAAAAAAAAAAGCAAGUUUGUUAAUUCCUAGAUACAAUGAGGGUACAGGCAUUGAGUAAAUACAGCUGUUCAAAAUGGGAGAAAUUGGCCAAAACAAAGGGGUUACAGAUCUCCUAUGCAAGUCUGAAGUCCAGUGGAGCAGUCAAAUCUUUUUUUUUUUUUUUUUUUUUUUGAGAUGGAGUCUUGCUCUGUCACCCAGGCUGGAGUGCAGUGGCAUGAUCUUGGCUCACUGCAACCUCCACCUCCCGGGUUCAAGCAAUUCUUCUGCCUCAGCCUCCUGAGUAGCUGGGAUUACAGGCACAUGCCACAAUGCCUGGCUAAUUUUUUUUGUAUUUUUAGUAGAGACGGAGUUUCACCAUGUUGGCCAGGCUGGUCUUGAACUCCUGAACUCAAGCGAUCCUCCCACCUUGGCCUCCCAAAGUGCUGGAAUUACAGGAGUGAGCCGACAUGCCUGGCAGCAGUCAAAUCUUAAAGCCCCAAAAUGAUUUCCUUUGACUCCAUGUCUCAUGUCCAGGUCACACUGAUGCAAGAGGUGGGCUCCCAUGGCCUUGGCAGCUCUGCCCCUGUGGCUUUGCAGGGUAUAGCCCCCCCUCCCAGCUGCUUUCACAGGCAGGCCUUGAGUGUCUGUGGCUUUUCCAGGAGCAAGGUGCAAGCUGUCAGUGGAGCUACCAUUCUGGGGUCUGGAGGACAGUGACUCUUUUCUUGCAGCUCCACUAGGCACUGCCCCAGUUGGGAGUCUGUGUGAGGGCUUGCACCCCACAAUUUCCCUUUGCACUGCCCUAGCAGUGGUUCUCCAUGAGGGCUCCACCCCUGCAGCCCACCUCUACCUGGACAUCCAGGCAUUUCUACACAUCCUCUGAAAUCUUGGCAGAGGUUCCCAAGCCUCAAUUCUUGACUUCUGUGCACUCGCAGGCACAACACCACAUGAAAGCUGCCAAGGCCUAGGGUUUGCACCCUCUGAAGCCACAGCCUGAGCUGCACCUUGGCCCCUUUUAGCUGUGGCUGGAGCAGCUGGGAUACAAGGCACCAAGUCCCCAGGCUGCACAGAGCAGGGGGGCCCUGGGCACAGCCCAUGAAACCAUUUUUUCCUACUAGGCCUCCAAGCCUGUGAUGGGAGGGUCUGCCACAUGAAGGUCUCUGACAUACCCUGGAGACAUUUCCCCCCACUGUCUUCAUGAUUAACAUUUGGCUUCUCGUUACUUAUGCAAAUUUCUGAGGCCAGCUUGAAUUUCUCCUCUGAAUUUUUUUUUUUUUUUUUUUUUUUUUGAGAUGGAGUCUUGAUCUGUUGCCAGGCUGGAGUGCACUGGCACAAUCUCGGCUCAUUGCAACCUCCGCCUCCCGGGUUCAAGCGAUUCUCCUGCCUCAGCCUCCCGAGUAGCUGGGACUACAGGUGUGUGCCACCAUGCCCAGCUAAUUUUUGUAUUUUCAGUAGAGACCGAGUUUCACCAGGUUGGCCAGGAUGGUCUCAAUCUCUUGACUUCAUGAUCUGCCCACUUCAGCCUCUCAAAGUACUAGGAUUACGGGCAUCAGGCACUGCACCCGGCCUGGGUUUUUCUUUUCUACCGCAUUGUCAGGCUGCAAAUUUUUUGAAAUUGUAUGCUCAUUUUAACUUUUUUUUUUUUUUUUAAUGGAGUCUUGCUCUGUCACCCAGGCCAGAGUGCAGUGGCGUGAUCUUGGCUCAUUGCAACCUCUGCCUCCUGGGUUUAAGCAGUUCUCUGCCUCAGCCUCCCAAGUAGUGGGGAUUACAGGAGCCCACCACAACACCCUGCUAAUUUUUGUAUUUUUAGUAGAGAUGGGGUUUCACUAUAUUGGCCAGGCUGGUCUUGAACUACUGACCUUGUGAUCUGCUCAACUCAGCCUCCCAAAGGGCUGGGACUACAGGCAUGAGCCACUGCUCCUGGUCUGUUUCACUUUUACAACUGAAUGCUGGCCAGAUGUGGUGGCUCAUCCCUGUAAUCCCAGCACUUUGGGAGGCCUAGGCAGGCAGAUCACGAGGUCAAGAGUUUGAGACAAGCCUGCCAAUAUGGUGAAACCCCAUCUCUACUAAAAAUACAAAAAUUAGCCUGGCGUGGUGGUGGGCGCCUGUGGUCCCAGCUACUCGGGAGGCUGAGGCAGGAGAAUUGUUUGAACCCAGGAUGUGAAGGUUGCAGUGAGCCGAGAUCACGCCACUGCAGUCAGUCCAGCCUGGGCGACAGAGCGAGACUCCGUCUCAAAAAAAAAAAAAAAAUAAGAACAGAAUGCUACUGGGCACAAUGGCUCAUGCCUGUAAUCCCACCACUUUGGGAGACUGAGGUGGGCAGAUCAAUUCACAUCAGGAGUUUGAGACCAGCCUGGCAAACAUGGUGAAACCCUAUCUCUAAUAAAAAUACAAAAAUUGGCUGGGUGUGGUGGCAGGCACAUGUAAUCACAGCUACUCAGGAGACUGAGGCACGAGAAUCACUUGAUUCUCUGCGGGCAGAGGUUGCAGUGAGCCGAGAUCUUGCCACUGCAUGCCAGCCUGGGCAACAGAGACUAUCUCAAAAAAACAAAAAUAGCAAAAACAACAACAAAUCCUGGAUGCUUUUAACAGCACCAAAGUCACCUCUUGAAUGUUUGCUGCUUAGAAAUUCUGUAACCGCCAGGCGUGGUGGCUCACGCCUAUAAUCCCAACAUGUUGGGAGGCCGAGGCAGGAGGAUCACCUGAGGUCAGGAGUUUGAGACCAGCCGGAUCAACAUGGAGAAACCUGGUCUCUACUAAAAAUACAAAAUUAGCCAAGUGUGGUGGCACAUGCCUGUAAUCCCAGCUGCUCAGGAGGCUGAGGCAGGAGAAUCGCCUGAACCCAGGAGGCGGAGGUUGGGGUGAGCUGAGAUCCUGCCAUUGCACUCCCCUGGGCAACAGGAGCGAAACUCCAUCACGAAAAAAAAAAAGAAAGAAAGAAAAAAAGAAAUUCUGUAAUCGCCGGCACGGUGGCUCACACCUGUAAUCCCAACACUUUGGGAGGACGAGGCAGGCAGAUCACCUGAGUUAGAGACCAGCCUGCCCAACAUUGCGAAACCCCACCUCUACUAAAAAUACAAAAUUAGCUGGGCGUGGUGGCGCAUCCCUGUAAUCCCAGCUGCUCCAGAGGCUGAGGCAGGAGAAUCGCUUGUACCUGGGAGGUGGAGGUUGCAGUGAGCCGAGAUCGCGCCAUUCGACUCCAACACGCGAAUCAAGAGCAAAACUCCGACACAAAAAAAAAAAAAGAAAAGAAAAGAAAAAGACAAGAAAAAGAGAGAGAGAUGUUGGAAAGAAAAGCCUCACAGAAGGCAGGGCACGGUGACUCAAGCCUGUAAUCCGAGAACUUUGGGAGGCUGAGGGGGGCGGAUGACGAGGUCAGGAGAUGGAGACCAUCCUGGCUAACAGGAUGAGACCGCCGUCUCUACUAAAAAUAGGAAAAAUUUGCUGGGCGUGGUGGCCUACGCCUGUAAUCCCAGCUACCCAGGAGGCUGAGGCAGGAGAAUCGCUGGAACCCGGGAGGUAGAGGCUGCAGUGAGCCGAGAUCGCGCCACUGCACUCCAGCCUGGGCGACAGAGCAAGAGUUUGUCUGUAAAAAAAAAAAAAAAAAAAAAAAAAAAAAAAGCCAGGGUGAGCGGUGAUUGUGUUGGCGUGAAGCGAGGGAAACACUCGGCCGCAGGACAAAACUAAAACAGCAAGGGGGCACCGAAAGACUCAGUAGUCCACGUGAAUAUCCUGAUUAUGUUGUAGCUGAGAUAAUGUAGGGUCCACCCCUACCGGGUCUGUGGGUUUUCUCUUCGCGUGUGUGCGGAGACGAGAGAUCGAAGAGAUAAAGACAGAAGACAAAGAGAUAGGAAGAAAGACAGCUGGGCCCGGGGGACCACUGCCACCAAAGCGCGGAGACAGACAGGUAGUGGCCCCGAGUGCCUGGAGGCGCUGCUAUUUAUUGUAGUCAAGGCAAGGGGGCAGGGUAAGGAGUGCCAGUCAUCUCCAAUGAUCGAUAGGUCACGCGAGUCACGUGUCCACUGGACAGGGGGCCUUUCCCUUUGUGGUAGCCGAGGUGGAGAGGGAGGACAGCAAACGUCAGCGUUUCUUCUAUGCACUUAUCAGAAAGAUCGAAGACUGUGGUACUCCUACUAGUUCUGCUACUGCUGUCUUCUAAGAACUUAAAAGGAGGAGCCAGGUGUACAGGCUGAACAUGAAAGUGAACAAGGAGCGUGACCACUGAAGCACAGCAUCACAGGGAGACAGACGUUGGAGCCUCCGGAUGACUGCGGGCCGGCCUGGCUAAUGUCAGACCUCCCACAAGAGGUGGUGGAGCGGAGCGUUCUCUGUCUCCCCUGGAGAGAGGGAGAUUCCCUUUCCGGGUCUGCUAAGUAACGGGUGCCUUCCCAGGCACUGGGGCCACCGCUAGACCAAGGCCUGCUAAGUAACCAGGGCCUUCCCAGGCACUGGCAUUACUGCUUGGCCAAGGAGCCCUCAACCGGCCCUUAUGUGGGCAUGACAGAGGGCUCACCUCUUGCUUUCUAGGUCACUUCUCACAAUGUCCCUUCAGUACAUGAUCCUACACCCAUCAAUUAUUCCUAGGUUAUAUUAGUAAUGCAACAAAGACUAAUAUUAAAAGCUAAUGAUUAAUAAUGUUUAUACAUUAUUGAUUGAUAAUUGUCCAUGAUCAUCUCUAUAUCUAAUUUGUAUUGUAAGUAUUCUUUAUUCUAACUAUUUUCUUUAUUAUACUGCUACAGUUUGUGCCUUCAGUCUCCUGUCUUGGCACCUGGGUAAUCCUUCGUCCACAGCUGCCCAAAUCUCCCCUCUUUUUAUUGACUAGGAUCAUCAUUGCCAUCAUUGCUUGUUGACUUUGGGCUUUUCAUCGGACUCCCUGAAGACAUCUGCAUACUAAAAGCAGACAACAUAAACACACCAAUAUCAGUAAUGCUAGUGACAAUAGUGAACCUCUAAGGGGUUUGAUCCGUUUAAAAAGAUUAAGAUCGGAUAAUACUUUGGUGAUUUCCUCAAAAAUAUGAGAGCCAGGAACGGUAGUUAAGUGAGCCUGUGAGGCCCCCAAAAUUUGCUCUUUCAGUUUUGAAAUAUCUUAAGUUAGAUUAUCAUCCCAGGCUUUGAAUGUCUCAUGACUUUUUCCCAGCUAUGCUGAUCUUUUUUAUAAGCAUAAGGCAUUAUGCAAUAAUCAGAAUUAUUCCAAUCACAUUGUAAUUGCAUACGGUGUUGCAAAUUCAUAACUCUAUCUCCCAGCCAUAUCACACUCUGGUGGAGAUCAUUAAUUUGAUUAGCCAAAUUUGAUCAACUUGAGCCUGAGAAUUCCAGAGUCUGGUGGAGUUUUUGUUUGUUUGUUUGUUUUUUUGCCACACUUCCACAUAUUGAGUGGUCUGAACAGAGUUGUGGAUAGCAACUCCAGCUGCCAUUGCUGUGGCAGUGACAGCAAUUAAUCCUGCAAUGACUGCAAUAAGAGUAAAGAUGAAUCUCUUCGUUCUCUUAAGGAUUCCUUUAAGGAUUUCAUUGACUAUAUGAAUAGAGGGAGAAGACUCCCAAGGGUGGUGUAAAGAAACGGUAUCCUUACCCCCUCCCUAGCCCUUACCAGGAGAAUACUUGUUAUGGGAUGAAAUGUAACACGAAUACAUGUAAACAAUUUGCAAUCAUCAAAUUCUAUGGUUUGGCUGUUGGGGGGUGAUAAUUAUAUUUCCGACUAAUAGCAUAUAAGGGGAUUUUACACAGCUCCUGCUAGGUAUCACCUGUUCAGACAUCAAGGUGACUUUGUAUACGUCUGUCUUGGUAUUAGUGGGAAUGAUCUGAUAGGUUACAUUCCAUAUCCUAAUUCCAGUCAUGGCAGCAGCCAAUUUCCACAAUUCAGGAUGUUCUGGGGUAACAAUAGGAUGAAUCACUUUUGGUCUAGGAGGAAUGAUCACUUUGUCCAUCCAUUUGAAUGGGUAAGGAGACACCCAUUCCCUCAGCCUGUAGGACUGCCAUCCCUCCUCUACAUAAUCUAUCAAAUAGUUGAACUCAGAAUAUUUGGCAUUUAGGCUGGAAAAAUUUAGCCAAUAAUAUCCUCUUGGA